rnacentral:rRNA from 1 species
GAUGAACGCUGGCGGCGUGCCUAAUACAUGCAAGUCGAGCGAAUGGAUUAAGAGCUUGCUCUUAUGAAGUUAGCGGCGGACGGGUGAGUAACACGUGGGUAACCUGCCCAUAAGACUGGGAUAACUCCGGGAAACCGGGGCUAAUACCGGAUAACAUUUUGAACCGCAUGGUUCGAAAUUGAAAGGCGGCUUCGGCUGUCACUUAUGGAUGGACCCGCGUCGCAUUAGCUAGUUGGUGAGGUAACGGCUCACCAAGGCAACGAUGCGUAGCCGACCUGGGAGGGUGAUCGGCCACACUGGGACUGGGACACGGCCCAGACUCCUACGGGAGGCAGCAGUAGGGGAUCUUCCGCAAUGGACGAAAGUCUGACGGAGCAACGCCGCGUGAGUGAUGAAGGCUUUCGGGUCGUAAAACUCUGUUGUUGGGGAAGAACAAGUGCUAGUUGAAUAAGCUGGCACCUUGACGGUACCUAACCAGAAAGCCACGGCUAACUACGUGCCAGCAGCCGCAGUAA